rnacentral:rRNA from 1 species
UUCUGGCUCAGGAUGAACGCUAGCUACAGGCUUAACACAUGCAAGUCGAGGGGUAGCAGGGUAGCAAUACCGCUGACGACCGGCGCACGGGUGAGUAACACGUAUCCAACCUUCCCAUAACUCAGGGAUAGCCUUUCGAAAGAAAGAUUAAUACCUGAUAGUACUUUUUCAAGGCAUCUUGAGAAAGUUAAAGAUUUAUUGGUUAUGGAUGGGGAUGCGUUCCAUUAGAUAGUUGGUGAGGUAACGGCUCACCAAGCCUUCGAUGGAUAGGGGUUCAGAGAGGAAGGUCCCCCACAUUGGUACUGAGACACGGACCAAACUCCUACGGGAGGCAGCAGUGAGGAAUAUUGGUCAAUGGGCGAGAGCCUGAACCAGCCAAGUAGCGUGAAGGAUGAAGGUCCUAUGGAUUGUAAACUUCUUUUAUAGUAGAAUAAAGUGAUCCACGUGUGGAUUUUUGUAUGUAUACUAUGAAUAAGGAUCGGCUAACUCCGUGCCAGCAGCGGC